rnacentral:lncRNA from 10 species
CUUUUAUUCAGGAAGUGGUAAAUCCUGACAAGAGACCAUCAAGCUUCAGAUGAUUAUGUGACAUGGUUUCUAGCCAGUUCCAGGUGAAGACACCACCCCAGGCCAUCAAGAAGCUACCCUGUCACCACUGGACAGAGCAAGGAGAGAGUUCCGUGAGCCCCAGUGGGUAGGGACUGCACCCCAAAUUCAAGUCAGCAUAAAGCAGUUACAGAAAAAAAGACCAUCAGUCCCUAUGCCUCCCAUAAAGAUAUAUGAGAAUCUUGUCUCUCAGGGGGGACAUGAGGCAGGACAAGAAUGUCUGGAGGCAGGAAGCCUAAGGCCAAUUCCCACUGACUUCCUGGAGCUCAAUCCAAAGGAAAACCCCACUGGAUUAGUCCAUUUUCAUGCUGCUGAUAAAGACAUACCUGAGACUGGGCAAUUUACAAAAGAAAGCGAUUUAAUGGACAUACAGUUCCACGUGGCUGGGAAGGCCUCACAAUCAUGGUGGAAGGUGAAAGGCAUUUCUCACAUAGUGGCAGACAAGAGAAGAGAGCUUGUGCAGCGAAACUCCUGCUUUUAAAACCAUCAGAUCUUGUGAGACUCGUUCACUAUCAUGAGAACAGCACAGGAGGGAACCACCUCCAUAAUUCAAUCACCUUCCACCAGGAUCCUCCUAUGAUGCAUGGGAAUUACAGGAGUUGCAAUUCAAGUUGAGAUUUGGGUGGGGACACAGCUAAACCACACCAUCAAUCUCUCCAUAACAAAAGGAUCAGAAACUACUCCUUUUAUACUGCGUUGCAGAUGAAAAAUGGAAAGUACCUCUGAAUGGUUCCCUCCCACAAUCAGUCAGACUAGUCACAGGCCAAGUCUUCUUUUACAUUGGGUGUAACCAAGUAACCAAAGGGAAACUUUUAGAGGGUAUUGAAACCCCAGAAAAUGUUUCAAGGGGUGCUCUUUGCCACUUGCUCAAUCCUGCUCCCACUCUGUUGCAGUGUAAUUUCAUUUCAAUAAAUUUGUGCUUUCA